UUUCCCUUGACUCCAACUCAUCUUGCUCUAUUUCCACAUCUACCCCCUCCCUUUCCUUUUCCAUAGCUCUUUAGGACCUCUGUUUAUUUGCUGUGGGUCUGUGACGGCUGCGGAGAUGUCUGUGAUUUCUCCCAGGCUCUGGAGGGGCCCAUGGAGAGAGUGCUUUGUGUCCUGUCUGUUUUUUUUUUCCUCCUUUUUUCCCCCCCUCUCCGCUCCACUGAGUUCCACCACUCCCACCGCAUCCAGGUGAAAGAGCCGGGUUUGUUAAAAGAGGCGAAUGAGGAGGGAGCAUCAGGAGGGGAGAGACAAUGCAGAAGCGAUAAACAAAAAGAGGAGGAGGUGCUGAGGGCCUAGUGAGCGUGCGAAAAUCUCACAGACACACACCUGCUGCUGUUGAAGGUGCAGUAAAUCCACGGGGCUGAUCUCCCCAUUGGCGUCACCGUUGGACCCACCCUCUCUUCCUCCGCCCUCCGAUUGGCUGGUCAGGCUGCUGACUCCGUUUUGGUUGGAGGACACUGUUCGAAUGGUCUCAGUUGCUGAUUCUACCAUCAUCACGUGGCACCUGAGUGAACGGGGACAGUGGGAAAGAGAGAAAAA